rnacentral:tRNA from 1 species
GUAUGGCUGAGGCCAGGCGGUGGGUUGUAKCCCGACAGACAGAGAUAUCUCUUGCUAUCA